rnacentral:rRNA from 1 species
UACAGAGGUGGCAAGCGUUGUUCGGAUUUACUGGGCGUAAAGGGUGCGUAGGUGGUCAUGUGUGUCGGAUGUGAAAUCCCACUGCUCAACGGUGGAACUGCGUUCGAAACUGCGUGACUUGAGUGCAGGAGGGGAAAGCGGAAUUCUUGGUGUAGCGGUGAAAUGCGUUGAUAUCAAGAAGAACACCGGUGGCGUAGGCGGCUUUCUGGAAUGCAACUGACACUGAGGCACGAAAGCUAGGGGAG